rnacentral:rRNA from 1 species
UACGGAGGAUGCGAGCGUUAUCCGGAUUUAUUGGGUUUAAAGGGUGCGUAGGCGGCCGAGUAAGUCAGCGGUGAAAUUUUGCAGCUUAACUGUAACAGUGCCGUUGAUACUGGGGAGCUAGGAUUUGGUUGCUGUGGGUGGAAUGUGUGGUGUAGCGGUGAAAUGCUUAGAGAUCACACAGAAUAUCGAUUGCGAAGGCAGCUCACAAAGCCAAGAUUGACGCUGAGGCACGAAAGUGUGGGGAGUCAAACAGGAUUA